AGUGACACGCCGCCGUGGCGUGCGAGGCCGGCUGCGCAUUUGAAGUUCCGUCUCUUUCUUUGUUUGGUGUAUCCUGGUUUGGCGGGCUCCCGGUGCCGUGUAUAAUUACGUUCCUUCUGCACUUCGGCACAGCACGGCUGCGCAGUUGGGCUAUGACAAGGGACCCAAUCGCAUCACAGAAGAAGAAUGGAGCUCUGCCAUCCAGAGCUCAGACCUUUCACGUCAAACCUGGGCUGUCCAGAGAGCCCACGAUGCGGCGGUUAGGCUCGGCCUACCCGUCCCCACGUGGGAGCGGCCCGCAGCUCUGCCCUAGGGCAAAGCUUCUCAGGACCUUGUAAUUAAAGUUCUUUGUCUGUCUGUC